AUUGAACGCUGGCGGCAGGCCUAACACAUGCAAGUCGAGCGGAUGAAGGAAGCUUGCUCCUGGAUUCAGCGGCGGACGGGUGAGUAAUGCCUAGGAAUCUGCCUGGUAGUGGGGGAUAACGUCCGGAAACGGGCGCUAAUACCGCAUACGUCCUGAGGGAGAAAGUGGGGGAUCUUCGGACCUCACGCUAUCAGAUGAGCCUAGGUCGGAUUAGCUAGUUGGUGGGGUAAAGGCCUACCAAGGCGACGAUCCGUAACUGGUCUGAGAGGAUGAUCAGUCACACUGGAACUGAGACACGGUCCAGACUCCUACGGGAGGCAGCAGUGGGGAAUAUUGGACAAUGGGCGAAAGCCUGAUCCAGCCAUGCCGCGUGUGUGAAGAAGGUCUUCGGAUUGUAAAGCACUUUAAGUUGGGAGGAAGGGCAGUAAGUUAAUACCUUGCCGUUUUGACGUUACCAACAGAAUAAGCACCGGCUAACUUCGUG
rnacentral:rRNA from 1 species